rnacentral:SRP_RNA from 1 species
GGUCGGGUCCCGAGUAAUGGUGCGGUGCGAACCUGGUCAGGCCGGGAACGGAGCAGCCAUAAGCAUGCGGUGUCAUGUCUCGGAUCACCUGGCCGUC